rnacentral:rRNA from 1 species
GAUGAACGCUGGCGGCGUGCCUAACACAUGCAAGUCGAACGGAGAUUCCGGACGGAAGUUUUCGGAUGGAAGACUGUAAUUCUUAGUGGCGGACGGGUGAGUAACGCGUGGGCAACCUGCCCUAUACAGGGGGAUAGCAGCUGGAAACGGCUGGUAAGACCGCAUAAGUCGGUUAAAUCGCAUGAUUUGAUCGGGAAAUGAGCAAUCAGGUAUAGGAUGGGCCCGCGUCCGAUUAGCCAGUUGGCAGGGUAAAAGCCUACCAAAGCGACGAUCGGUAGCCGGACUGAGAGGUCGGACGGCCACAUUGGGACUGAGACACGGCCCAAACUCCUACGGGAGGCAGCAGUGGGGGAUAGUGCACAAUGGAGGAAACUCUGAUGCAGCGACGCCGCGUGAGUGAAGAAGUAUUUCGGUAUGUAAAGCGCUAUCAGCAGGGAAGAUGAUGACGGUACCUGACUAAGAAGCCCCGGCUAACUACGUG